UACCAGCACCCCGAGUGGUCGGGACGUUUAUUGGGCCUAAAGCAUCCGUAGCCGGUUCUACAAGUCUUCCGUUAAAUCCACCUGCUCAACAGAUGGGCUGCGGAAGAUACUAUGGAGCUAGGAGGCGGGAGAGGCAAGCGGUACUCAAUGGGUAGGGGUAAAAUCCGUUGAUCCAUUGAAGACCACCAGUGGCGAAGGCGGCUUGCCAGAACGCGCUCGACGGUGAGGGAUGAAAGCUGGGGGAGCAAACCGG
rnacentral:rRNA from 1 species